rnacentral:tRNA from 1 species
GGGUGUUGCUCAGUGGUAGGGCUAUUGUCUACCAUGUGCAAGGCCCUGGGUUUGAUCCCCAGCAACACACA